rnacentral:ncRNA from 1 species
AUAACUUCGAUGACGAGAACAAGUACGCUUUGAUUUCAUUCCCCAGAGAGCCGUGUAUUGCUGAAAAACGGCGUUUGAACCCUAGCGGAAUAUCCUCUCCGAGAAGCGGCGCAGAAACCUGCUUGCAGACGAUGUUCAAAAAUUCGGCUUUACCGCCUUUUGGAACGUUCUUCUGAAGAAGGUUAGUAAGCGUCGACGGCGUCCCCCGUUACAGGGAGUGCGGAUGAAUGUCCGCAGCUAAGUGCCGCAGCCGGCAGGCAUUAAAGCCCAGCCAGGCGUUGUUCGCUCAUUGCGAAGAAUUAUGCGGAAUCAGGGUGGUAUCGCGAGCUAUAGCCUCGUCCCUUUU